UACGGGGGGGCAAGCGUUGUUCGGAAUUACUGGGCGUAAAGGGCUCGUAGGCGGCCAACUAAGUCAGACGUGAAAUCCCUCGGCUUAACCGGGGAACUGCGUCUGAUACUGGAUGGCUUGAGUUCGGGAGAGGGAUGCGGAAUUCCAGGUGUAGCGGUGAAAUGCGUAGAUAUCUGGAGGAACACCGGUGGCGAAGGCGGCAUCCUGGACCGAUACUGACGCUGAGGAGCGAAAGCCAGGGGAGCGAACAGGA
rnacentral:rRNA from 1 species